GGAGGUAGUGACAAUAAAUCACAAUGCGGGACUCCUAGUCUUGCAAUUGGAUUGAGAACAACGUACAACUCUUAUCGAUAAGCCAUUGGAGGGCAAGUCUGGUGCCAGCAGCCGCGGUAAUUCCAGCUCCAAUAGCGUAUAUUAACGUUGUUGCAGUUAAAAAGCUCGUAGUUGAAGUGAGGGAGUGUGUGGGUAUGAGAGCUAGUCUCAAGUACUUACAACCUCCCCCCUCCAAUCGGUGUAGUGGGGUAUUCACUUAUUUCACUACUCCUUUGGUCGUUUACUGUGAGAAAAUUAGAGUGUUCAAAGCGGGCGUUUGUUUGAAUAGAUUAGCAUGGAAUAAUGAUUGAAGGCUUUCGUGUUCGAUUUGAUUGGUUUGUUCAUGGAAGCAAGGUUAAAAGGAACAGUUGGGGGUAUUCAUAUUCACUAGUUAGAGGUGAAAUUCUCGGAUUUAUGGAAGAUGAACAAGUGCGAAAGCA
rnacentral:rRNA from 1 species